CUACAAUGAUGAGAAUCAUUUUUAUCAGUUCUGCUACUGAAUUACUGUGAUGACCUUCAAAUACCAUACCAAGAUCUCUGAUGG
rfam:Claviceps purpurea 20.1, WGS project CAGA01000000 data, contig: scaffold00141